CGGACGGGUGAGUAAUGUCUGGGAAACUGCCUGAUGGAGGGGGAUAACUACUGGAAACGGUAGCUAAUACCGCAUAACGUCGCAAGACCAAAGAGGGGGACCUUAGGGCCUCUUGCCAUCGGAUGUGCCCAGAUGGGAUUAGCUAGUAGGUGGGGUAAAGGCUCACCUAGGCGACGAUCCCUAGCUGGUCUGAGAGGAUGACCAGCCACACUGGAACCGAGACACGGUCCAG
rnacentral:rRNA from 1 species